rnacentral:lncRNA from 12 species
AGCAUGAGCAGCAGCCAGCAGCAGAGGAGCAAGAAGAGGGAGAGGCUUAGCAUGUAGUCUUCCCUGCACCCCGCUCUCCCCGCACGCUCUCUUCUCCCCGGCUGGGAAGCAGAAGGCAGGCCCCCCGCUGGACCUUUCGCCUCCGGAGAGGCUGACCUCAGCCAGAUGUGGACACAGCCCUUCAUUAAUGCUUCCGGAUGAACGAAUGAAUGAAUUAGAAGUGAUGGCUCAGAGAGGUUAAGCCCCC